rnacentral:rRNA from 1 species
GUGUGCCUAAUACAUGCAUGUCGUGCGAAGUACUUUUACUCAUCGGCGAAAGGGUGAGUAACACGUACCUAAUGUGCCCCCUAGACUGGUAUCACUGAUAGAAAUGACAGCUAAUACCGGAUAUUCUUAUUCACAUAUAGGUAUGUAGUAAAGAGGGUCCAGCUUUGCUUUGGGAUGAUGCUGCGGCGCAUUAGUUAGUUGGUGGGGUAAUGGCCUACCAAGGCGAUGAUGUGUAGCGGGCCUGAGAGGGUGAUC